rnacentral:rRNA from 1 species
AGAGUUUGAUCCUGGCUCAGAAUCAACGCUGGCGGCGUGCCUAACACAUGCAAGUCGAACGCGAAAGUCCCGCAAGGGAUUAGUAGAGUGGCAAACGGGUGAGUAACACGUGGGUGACCUGCCUUCGAGCGGGGGAUAACGUCCCGAAAGGGACGCUAAUACCGCAUAACAUCCUGCCUUUUAAGAGGUGGCGAUCAAAGCCGGGGAUUCGCAAGAACCUGGCACUUGAAGAGGGGCCCGCGCCUGAUUAGCUAGUUGGUGGGGUAAUGGCCUACCAAGGCAACGAUCAGUAUCCGGCCUGAGAGGGCGGACGGACACACUGGGACUGAGACACGGCCCAGACUCCUACGGGAGGCAGCAGUGGGGAAUUGUUCGCAAUGGGCGCAAGCCUGACGACGCAACGCCGCGUGGAGGAUGAAGACCUUCGGGUCGUAAACUCCUUUCGAUCGAGACGAAUGUUUUUCGGGUGAACAAUCCGGAAAAGUGACGGUACCGAGAGAAGAAGCCCCGGCUAACUCUGUGCCAGCAGCCGCGGUA